rnacentral:rRNA from 1 species
UGGCGUAAACAAAGGGAAGCGAAACCGCGNGGUCAAGCAAAUCCCAAAAAUAACGUCCCAGUUCGGACUGUAGUCUGCAACCCGACUACACGAAGCCGGAAUCGCUAGUAAUCGCGAAUCAGAAUGUCGCGGUGAAUACGUUCCCGGGUCUUGUACACACCGCCCGUCACACCAUGGGAGUCGGAAAUGCCCGAAGUCAGUGACCCAACCGCAAGGAGGGAGCUGCCGAAGGCAGGUCCGGUAACUGGGGUGAAGUCGUAACAAGGUACC